rnacentral:ncRNA from 1 species
UCUCAGGGCGGAGUGAAAUUCUCCACCGGUGGUAAAAGUCCACGAACAUAGAAUAAUAUAUGCUGAUUUGGUGAAAUUCCAAAACCGACAGUAAAAGUCUGGAUGAAAGAGAAA